rnacentral:rRNA from 1 species
UAAGCUAGAGGGACGCUUUCAUUAAGUCUAUCCCGGGCGAUGGUUGCCCCGGGCGUAAGGGACCGAAAUUUAGUAGGGAAGUAGACGGCGUGAGAGACGAGAAAAGCUCUAGUGUAUACUAAGGUGCCCGUACCGCAAACCGACACAGGUAGAUGGGAUGAGUAUUCUAAGGCCGACGGGGGAAGGGUUGUUAAGGAACUCGGCAAAUUGGCCCCGUAACUUCGGGAUAAGGGGCGCCUGCGAGAGCAGGCCGCAGUGAAAAGGCCCAAGCGACUGUUUAGCAAAAACACAGCUCUCUGCUAAAUCGAAAGAUGACGUAUAGGGGGUGACGCCUGCCCGGUGCUGGAAGGUUAAGGGGAGUGCUUAGCGCAAGCGAAGGUGCGAACUUAAGCCCCAGUAAACGGCGGCCGUAACAAUAACGGUCCUAAGGUAGCGAAAUUCCUUGUCAGGUAAGUUCUGACCCGCACGAAUGGCGUAACGAUUUGGGCACUGUCUCAACAGCCCGCCCGGCGAAAUUGUAGUACCGGUGAAGAUGCCGGUUUCCCGCAACUAGACGGAAAGACCCCAUGGAGCUUCACUGUAGCUUGAUAUUGGAUCUCGGUAUUCCAUGUACAGGAUAGGUGGGAGGCUAGGAAGUAAGCGCGCCAGCGUUUAUGGAGCCAACCUUGGGAUACCACUCUUGGGAUAUUGGGAUUCUAACCUGCGACCAUGAAUCUGGUCGGGGGACACUGUCAGGUGGGCAGUUUGACUGGGGCGGUCGCCUCCAAAAGAGUAACGGAGGCGCUCAAAGGUUCGUUCAGCACGGAUGGAAAUCGUGCACUGAGUGUAAACGCAUAAACGAGCCUAACUGCGAGAAUGACGGUUCGAGCAGUAACGAAAGUUGGAGUUAGUGAUCCGGCGGUAUGUGAAUGGAAAUGCCGUCGCUCAACGGAUAAAAGCUACCCUGGGAUAACAGGCUGAUCUCCCCCAAGAGUCCACAUCGACGGGGAGGUUUGGCACCUCGAUGUCGGCUCAUCGCACCCUGGGGCUGAAUUCGGUCCCAAGGGUUUGGCUGUUCGCCAAUUAAAGCGGUACGCGAGCUGGGUUCAGAACGUCGUCAGACAGUUCGGUCCCUAUCUGUUGCGGGCGCAGGAAUAUUGAGAGGAGCUGUCCUUAGUACGAGAGGACCGGGAUGGACGUACCGCUGGUGCACCAGUUGUUCUGCCAAGGGCAUAGCUGGGUAGCUAAGUACGGACGAGAUAAACGCUGAAGGCAUCUAAGCGUGAAACUCCCCUCGAGAUAAGUGUUCCCAUCCUUCGGGAGUAAGGCCCCUUGUAGACUACAAGGUUGAUAGGUCAGGAGUGGAAGUGCAGUAAUGUAUGGAGCGGACUGAUACUAAUAGGCCGAGGGCUUGACU